CAGUCGCCGCGGUAAUACAGAGGGUGCAAGCGUUAAUCGGAAUUACUGGGCGUAAAGCGCGCGUAGGUGGUUUGUUAAGUUGGAUGUGAAAUCCCCGGGCUCAACCUGGGAACUGCAUCCAAAACUGGCAAGCUAGAGUAUUGUAGAGGGUGGUGGAAUUUCCUGUGUAGCGGUGAAAUGCGUAGAUAUAGGAAGGAACACCAGUGGCGAAGGCGACCACCUGGACUGAUACUGACACUGAGGUGCGAAAGCGUGGGGAGCAAACAGGAUUAGAUACCCCGGUAGUCCCUGUCUCUUAUAC
rnacentral:rRNA from 1 species